AAAUUGACGGGGACCCGCACAAGCGGUGGAUGAUGUGGAUUAAUUCGAUGCAACGCGAAGAACCUUACCUACCCUUGACAUGUCCGGAACUUGCCAGAGAUGGCUUGGUGCCCGAAAGGGAAUCGGAACACAGGUGCUGCAUGGCUGUCGUCAGCUCGUGUCGUGAGAUGUUGGGUUAAGUCCCGCAACGAGCGCAACCCUUAUCAUUAGUUGCUACGCAAGGGCACUCUAAUGAGACUGCCGGUGACAAACCGGAGGAAGGUGGGGAUGACGUCAAGUCCUCAUGGCCCUUAUGGGUAGGGCUUCACACGUCAUACAAUGGUCGGUACAGAGGGUUGCCAAGCCGCGAGGUGGAGCCAAUCCCAGAAAGCCGAUCGUAGUCCGGAUUGUUCUCUGCAACUCGAGAGCAUGAAGUCGGAAUCGCUAGUAAUCGCGGAUCAGCAUGUCGCGGUGAAUACGUUCCCGGGUCUU
rnacentral:rRNA from 1 species